GUGCCAGCCGCCGCGGUAAGACAGAGGUGGCAAGCGUUGUUCGGAAUUACUGGGCUUAAAGGGCGCGUAGGUGGUGGCAUAAGUCCGAGGUGGAAGACUACAGCUUAACUGUAGAAUUGCCUUGGAAACUGUAUCACUUGAGUCAGCGAGGGGAUGGCGGAAUUCCAGGUGUAGCGGUGAAAUGCGUAGAUAUCUGGAGGAAGGCCGGUGGCGAAGGCGGCCAUCUGGCGCUGAACUGACACUGAGGCGCGAAAGCGUGGGGAGCAAACAGGAUUAGAUACCCGCGUAGUCC
rnacentral:rRNA from 1 species